rnacentral:rRNA from 1 species
ACGAACGCUGGCGGCGUGCUUAACACAUGCCAGUCGAACGGAAAGGCCCUGCUUUUGUGGGGUGCUCGAGUGGCGAACGGGUGAGUAACACGUGAGUAACCUGCCCUUGACUUUGGGAUAACUUCAGGAAACUGGGGCUAAUACCGGAUAGGAGCUCCUGCUGCAUGGUGGGGGUUGGAAAGUUUCGGCGGUUGGGGAUGGACUCGCGGCUUAUCAGCUUGUUGGUGGGGUAGUGGCUUACCAAGGCUUUGACGGGUAGCCGGCCUGAGAGGGUGACCGGCCACAUUGGGACUGAGAUACGGCCCAGACUCCUACGGGAGGCAGCAGUGGGGAAUAUUGCACAAUGGGCGGAAGCCUGAUGCAGCAACGCCGCGUGCGGGAUGACGGCCUUCGGGUUGUAAACCGCUUUCAGCAGGGACGAAGCUUUUUGUGACGGUACCUGCAGAAGAAGCACCGGCUAACUACGUG